GAAUCUGGAUGUUCUGCUACGGAUACCACAAAGCCUCCUCCCAGAAGAGCUCUCUAUUAAAAUUAAGAAAGAGGAAGCCUGAGCAUCAUGGAAACAGAAGGCACAAACAGAUUCUGCAAAGAGGCUAAAUAAUUCUGAGAGAAUGAAGGAAAGAAUCUUACUUCUGUUCAGGCAACAGCCCUGUGAAGAGUUUCCAAGUGUAAUUUUCUUGAAGUUAAAGUUUGGGUUAUUAUGGUUCACUUAACAGACAGUUUGCCCCAAUUUUUGUGAUCUCAAUGAUAAGAUGACAAGAUUUCUAAUUUAUAAAACCAGGACAGCAUGUUGAGCUCUAUGAACCAUGGCCAAAGGAUAUAUUGAGCUACAUCUAGUUCUCCCCUUUCGUAUUUUAUUUUUCAAAGAAUUUCUCAAAAGAGGUCACUUGUAUUGCAUACCUUAAAUCUAUAUCAUCAGCAUCUUUUUCCCCUUGAACUAUAAUGAAAUAAGCAUAGAAUUGCAAUUCUUUACAACUAUAUGGUAGUUUAUAACUAUAUGGUCCCCUCUGUUGACCACUGAUCUUGUAUUCUUUCACUGUUUUAUUGUUUGCUUUUUGUACUCAACACGUUUAGGAGCAUUGAUUUGUUGAACUUUGUAAGAGGCCAUCAAUAUAGAUGCAUGUUAAUCAUAAAAACAAUACUACCUGAAUAUAAGGAAAAAAAUAUGAUCCUGUGCUUGCCUUCUAAAUUUCAAGUCUAUUAUUUCUUAAAAACUUAACUGUUUCAUUUACUUGUCCCAGAAGCAAAAUAACAAUACCUUUCCACCCAUGUUCUUCACCCCUGUUCUCUAAUCUUGAGCAUUGCAGGCUGAAGAAACCUGUUUCUGUUGUUACUCAUCCAGUUUUGAAUUCUGUAAUCUGUUUUCUAUCACUGACCUUAAAACUUGGAGAUCAGUGUUGUACUUGACAUGCAAUGGUAAUAUUGGGGUUUUGUUUUCCUUGGAUAAAUAAUUUGGUGAUAUACAUUUGUACCUUUGGUUUUUCCUGCCUGUAAAACCUUGCUUUUCUCCACAUUAAAUUUUAUUUUGUUGGAUAAGGCCCAUUGUUCAAGUCCGUCAAGAUCUUUUUGGAUUCUGAGCUUGUCUUCUGGGGUGUUGGCUAUUCCUGCCAGUUUAGUGUCAUCUGCAAAUUUGAUGAGUUCCCCUUCUAUUGCCUCAUCUAAGUCAUUAAUGAAGAUGUUAAAGAGUACUGGGCCUGAGAUGGAACCCUAUGGCUCGCACUGCUUACUUCCCUCCAUGUAGAUGUAGAACCAUUAAGGACGACUUGUUGAAUAUGGUUUGUCAGCCAGUUACAAAUCCAUCUAUCUCACAUUUUCCCAUCUUACCAAGAAAUAGAUUGGAAUUAGGUUCUAAAGAUCUUGAAGAUUGGUCCCCUUCCCCCCUCAAUUUUAGUUUAAAGCAAUUCUAAUAGGAUGAGCCAGUUGUUUUCUGAAUAUAUUCUUUCCAGUUCUUGUGAGGUUCACUCCAUCCCUUGCCAGUGUGUGCCAGACCAGUGUGCCAAACUAGUAUAAUGGAUUAAUGCACUUCAUGGAUCCUAAACAAUGUCCUUAAAAAGGACACUUGAAAGAGAAUUCAGAAAGAACAGUAACCAUUCAUUCAGAUGCCCCUGUCACAUAUUAGAAUGGCAUGCUAUGUUCAGUAGUCAAACUUGUUUUACAGUAAAAUUUUGAUUCCAUGGAUUUGCAGCUUAACAUUUGAGCUCAUUUUUUCCAGCAUAACUGAAUUCAGUGAAGACAACUGAUGUAGUUAUGCAAAUGAAGUAAAUUUAAGUAAAUGAUAUACAUUCAGAUUUAACAGAGAAGCUUUCUCAUCCAAAUGCUCCAUUAAAUUGAGAUUUUAUUGUAUGUUGUCUGACUGUAAAGUAAAAAUUCUCUUUAUGAAGAACUAAGCUUCCAGUUUGCAUUAUAAAGAAAAUGAGUAAGAAUACUCUGACAAUAAAGAAAUAAAAC